GACGAACGCUGGCGGCGUGCUUAACACAUGCAAGUCGAACGGAAAGGCCCUGCUUUUGUGGGUUGCUCGAGUGGCGAACGGGUGAGUAACACGUGAGUACCCUGCCCUUAACUUUGGGAUAACUUCAGGAAACUGGGGCUAAUACCGGAUAGGAGCUCCUGAUGCAUGGUGGGGGUUGGAAAGUUUCGGCGGUUGGGGAUGGACUCGCGGCUUCUCAGCUGGUUGGUGGGGUAGUGGCUGACCAAGGCUUUGACGGGUAGCCGGCCUGAGAGGGUGAACGGCCACAUUGGGACUGAGAUACGGCCCAGACUCCUACGGGAGGCAGCAGUGGGGAAUAUUGCACAAUGGGCGGAAGCCUGAUGCAGCAACGCCGCGUGCGGGAUGACGGCCUUCGGGUUGUAAACCGCUUUCGCCUGUGACGAAGCGUGAGUGACGGUAAUGGGUAAAGAAGCACCGGCUAACUACGUG
rnacentral:rRNA from 1 species